rnacentral:rRNA from 1 species
GUGUCAGCAGCCGCGGUAAUACCGGCAGCCCGAGUGAUGGCCGAUCUUAUUGGGCCUAAAGCGUCCGUAGCUGGCCGGACAAGUCCGUUGGGAAAUCUGUUCGCUUAACGAGCAGGCGUCCAGCGGAAACUGUUCGGCUUGGGACCGGAAGACCUGAGGGGUACGUCCGGGGUAGGAGUGAAAUCCUGUAAUCCUGGACGGACCGCCGAUGGCGAAAGCACGUCGCGAGGACGGAUCCGACAGUGAGGGACGAAAGCCAGGGUCUCGAACCGGAUUAGAAACCCCCGUAGUC